AGUUUGAUCCUGGCUCAGAGUGAACGCUGGCGGCGUGGAUUAGGCAUGCAAGUCGAGCGAUCCUUGAAAAAUUUUACUGAGUCGUAAGAUUUGGUGAAAUUUUUCGAGGAUAGCGGCAGACUGGUGAGUAACGCGUGAGUAAUUUACCUCUAAGCCGUGGAUAGCCUUGCGAAAGCAAGGGUAAAACACGAUGUGUCCCUUGACACAAAAGUGUCAAGGGGUAAAAGUGGCUCGCAAGAGCUAUUGUUUAGAGAUGAGCUCGCGUCCUAUCAGCUAGUUGGUAGGGUAAUGGCCUACCAAGGCUUUUGACGGGUAGCUGGCCUGAGAGGGUGGUCAGCCACACGGGGACUGAGACACUGCCCCGACUCCUACGGGAGGCUGCAGUCGAGGAUCUUUAGCAAUGGGCGAAAGCCUGACUAUGCGACGCCGCGUGAGGGAUGAAGAUCUUCGGGUCGUAAACUCCUGUCGAGCGGGAAGAACACCCCUCGGGUGAACAGCCCGGGAGGUUGACGGUACCGCGAGAGGAAGCCCCGGCUAACUCCGUGCCAGCAGCCGCGGUAAUACGGGGGGGGCAAGCGUUGUUCGGAAUUAUUGGGCGUAAAGGGCUCGUAGGCGGCCAACUAAGUCAGACGUGAAAUCCCCAGGCUUAACUUGGGAACUGCGUCUGAUACUGGAUGGCUUGAGUUCGGGAGAGGGACGUGGAAUUCCAGGUGUAGCGGUGAAAUGCGUAGAUAUCAGGAGGAACAUCGGUGGCGAAGGCGGCUCCCUGGACAGAUACUGACGCUGAGGCGCGAAAGCAUGGGUAGCAAACAGGAUUAGAUACCCUGGUAGUCCAUGCCCUAAACGAUGGGCACUAGGUGUGAGGACUUUUUAACGUCUUCGUGCCGUAGCUAACGCAUUAAGUGCCCCACCUGGGAAGUACGGCCGCAAGGUUGAAACUCAAAGGAAUUGACGGGGGCCCGCACAAGCGGUG
rnacentral:rRNA from 1 species